rnacentral:sRNA from 1 species
AAAAGUGAUCGUGUUAACUCGAUACUUCUUUGCUAGGUGAAUUUUUUUGCAGGGGAUAUGUAUUAAUUAUUAAUAUUUUUUAGGAGGUCAUUACACAUGACACAAGGUACAGUAAAAUGGUUUAACUCUGAAAAAGGUUUUGGAUUCAUCGAAGUAGAAGGCGGCAACGAUGUAUUCGUACACUUCUCUGCAAUCCAAGGCGAAGGCUUCAAAACUCUUGACGAAGGCCAAAAAGUUGAAUUCGAAGUAGAAGAAGGCAACCGCGGACCACAAGCAACUAACGUUGUAAAACUUUAAUAUUUAUAAAAGCAUCCUCUUAGAGGGUGCUUUUUUU